rnacentral:rRNA from 1 species
UUGAAUUUCAUUUUUAAGUGAAAAAGCUUAAAUAAACCUGAAGGACGAUAAGACCCUAUAGAGCUUUACUUCAUUAAAAUACAAACAACCUAGAAAUUAAUAUUAUUAUUUGAUAGAAGUUACGUUGGGGCGACGACAAGACAAUAAAUAACUCUUUAUUUUUUAAACAACUAAAAUUGAAAAAUUGAUCCUUAAAGCGAGAUCAAAUGAACAAGUUACCUUAGGGAUAACAGCGUAAUCCUUUUUAAGAGUUCUCAUCAACAAAAGGGUUUGCGACCUCGAUGUUGGAUUAAGAGUUCACCAAGGUGCAGCAGCUUUGGAAGACGGUCUGUUCGACCAUUAAUCUCUU